GUUGUCCCUAGAAGUACUGCAGGAAUGGCUGCUCUGUGCAUGUGCGUCAACACACAGCAGAGAAUAGAGAUGCUAUGUCUAAGCUUAGUGUUAUGACCUGUGAACAUCUAAAUGAUUAGAAGCCUAACAUU